UGAAACAAAAAAACAGAGAUGAACAGGCAAAGACAAAGGAUUUAUAAAGAAGAAAACAAAAAAUCAUAAAAAAAACCCACUGAAAAACAAGUAAUAAAGAAUAGAUCUGAAACUAAAACGAAAUGAACUAGCAAAGACAGACAAAGUAGAAGUGAUGAUUCAUACCUGAAAUCAGUCACCGAUGAAGCAGGGAAUUCCAAAAAAUCACAAAAACCAGAAACGGCAAAGAAAACCUAGUGUAGCGUUCUUUUUUUUUUUUUUUGGCAUUCGGUGACCCAAAACUAAAAAAAUGAGAGGAAGAAAUUCAAAACAGACAGAGAGAGAGGGAGUCGGCGAAUAAAUGGGGUGCUAUGGAUAGAAGAGAUAGAUUCGAGGAUUCAAAUUUCGAAUAAUGGGAAGGAAGCUGCCCUUUGAUCGGAGGUAAGACGCCGGAAGGUGUUGAUGCCGCGGAAGUGCCUAGAGUUUGUUAUGAAAUGACA
rnacentral:lncRNA from 1 species